CUAACUACGAAAUUUCCCAUUUAGGGUGGAAAUGCGCGGACCCCCAACUAAACGGCACCCGUUUCUUUGUUUCAUCUUUAAGUUUUGAAAAGCAUAAAUUUUAAGAAAUCAAAUUUGCUUCCCCUUUCCUGCAGCAGCAAAAAGAAAGCUUCCUUAGGGUUUCACCAACCCUCAAGUGCCGCCGUUCAGCCUAUGCCCAAGCUCUAAUUUCGAUGGAGAGGCAUCGACUGGGCGACUCCGGCGAAAAGGUAAGUUUUUCCUCCCUUCUCUUCUCUUUAUUUAAGCAAAAUAAAAUAAAUAAAUAAAAGAAAUAUAUAUACAAAUAAAAAUAAAAGAACGAUGAACACUACAAAGUAAAACGAAAAAAAUCACAUUUUGUAUUCGAAAAAAAUAAAUAAAUUUUGUGUCUGUAUUUAGUUUUUUCAAUACAAAAGAUUGGCCUUUUAAUAGCCCUAGAACAACUUAUUUCCCCCCUUUUUUGUUGUUUUACAUUGUUUGGACUCUUUGAAUCUGUUUUGCAGGUGAACGUGGGGAUACGGCGCGGGUGGUGGGGGCCGGUUCCGAGACGUGCGGCUGCUAGGGUCUUCGGGAAGCUGUUUGAGUUUUAGGGUUUCGGUUGUUUUUGUGUUAGGCUUGGGUUAGUUGGGUAUUGGGUUUUAAUUUGUAAUGGGUAAUUGGGCUUAGGUGGAUAUCAGGCCUACUAUUAGGUUUGUAAAAGAAUUGUUUUUGGAUUUUAAAAUGUUUUACGGGCCCGGGCAGAAAAAUUGGGUAUUACAUAAAUAAUAAUAAUUUUAUUUUUUCAUUAGGGUAUCCAUUGCCAACCUCAAUAACUAAUUCUCUCGUUAUGAGUACUUUUCAAAGAAGUAAAUAAUUAAUCAUAAAAUGUGUUUCAUUCC
rnacentral:lncRNA from 1 species